UAAGUCUCUGGGGAAAUCUUUUGGCUCAACCGAGGGGAUUGUCGGGGAUACUGGCGAGCUUGGAGCCGGGAGAGGUAGGAGGUACUUCGGGGGUAGGAGUGAAAUCUUGUAAUCCUGGAGGGACCACCUGUGGCGAAGGCGUCUUACUGGAACGGCUUCGACAGGUGAGGGACGAAAGCUGGGGGAGCGAACCGGAUUAGAUACCCGGGUAGUCCUGGCCGUAAACGAUGUGCGUUUGGUGUGUCAGAUGACCACCAA
rnacentral:rRNA from 1 species